GGGCCCGCACAAGCGGUGGAGCAUGUGGUUUAAUUCGAUGAUACGCGAGGAACCUUACCAGGGCUUAAAUGUAGUGGGACAGGUCUAGAGAUAGACCCUUCUUCGGACUCAUUACAAGGUGCUGCAUGGUUGUCGUCAGCUCGUGCCGUGAGGUGUCAGGUUAAGUCCUAUAACGAGCGCAACCCCUAUCGUUAGUUGCCAGCGAGUAAUGUCGGGAACUCUAACGAAACUGCCAGUGCAAACUGUGAGGAAGGUGGGGAUGACGUCAAAUCAUCACGGCCCUUACGUCCUGGCCACACACGUGCUACAAUGGUAGUGACAGAGGGCAGCCACUGGGUGACCAGGAGCGAA
rnacentral:rRNA from 1 species